AGGCACUGAAGUCAUGAUUGG
rnacentral:misc_RNA from 1 species